CAGCCGUAAACAAUGUGCGUUAGGUGUGUCGGUAACCACGUGUUACUGAUGCGCCGAAGAGAAAUCGUGAAACGCACCACCUGGGAAGUACGGUCGCAAGGCUGAAACUUAAAGGAAUUGGCGGGGGAGCACCACAACAGGUGGAGCCUGCGGUUUAAUUGGAUUCAACGCCGGACAUCUCACCGGAUAAGACAGCUGAAUGAUUGUCAAUCUGAAGGUUUUACAUGACUAGCUGAGAGGUGGUGCAUGGCG
rnacentral:rRNA from 1 species